ensembl:snoRNA
AGGAGGUGAACUGUCUUAUUCUGACCUUGUGUAGUGGAGGCAAAAAAACUGAUUUAAUACACAUUC